rnacentral:rRNA from 1 species
CCCUAGGUCUAAUAACCUAAUGGCACCAGAUCCCAUCUGAUCUUGGAACUAAACAGGGUUAUUCCUGGUCAGUACUUGGAUGUGAGACCAUAAAUGAAUACCAGAAGCUGUAGGCC